AUGAUUGCCAAAAAUGGUGGUGUCAUGUACCAAAUUCAGACUGAAGGGGCACUUGUUGCAACGAUGAUGUUAAUUCAGCAAAUGACUCUGGGAACUGAAUUGCAGGACCAUUGCCACCGGCAAAUUAAAAGGAAGGAGAUGGGCAGGUCUACGACCAACAGAGAGAAAGUGACUUACUAUGGCCUGAGCAAGAAGACCACAUUCUGCACCAUUUUCCGGCGACAGGGGCACGAAGGGACUAUGUGCCCAGACUGCGGAGAUGUACCAAAGCAGGCUAGGAGACGUGCUCGAUGCAAGAACUGUGGAGUCAAAGUUCACUGCCGGAACAAUUGCAACAAUGCAGCGGAGCUACGUCUGAAAGUGAGUUGA
rnacentral:rRNA from 1 species